rnacentral:rRNA from 1 species
UCGGGAAUCUUGCACAAUGGGCGAAAGCCUGAUGCAGCAACGCCGUGUGAGCGAGGAAGGUCUUCGGAUCGUAAGGCUCUGUUGUUGGGGACGAAGGGCGAAGGGUUAAUAGCCCCUAGCCUGACGGUACCCUUCGAGGAAGCCCCGGCUAAGUACGUGCCAGCAGCCGCGGUAAUACGUAGGGGGCGUGCGUUGUCCGGAAUUAUUGGGCGUAAAGAGCGUGUAGGCGGCCUGGUAAGUCUGACGUGAAAGGCUGGGGCUCAACCCUGGACGUGCGAUGGAUACUGCUAGGCUAGGGGAUGGUAGAGGAGAGUGGAAUUCCCGGUGUAGCGGUGAAAUGCGCAGAUAUCGGGAGGAACACCAGUAGCGAAGGCGGCUCGCUGGGCCAUUCCUGACGCUGAGACGCGAAAGCGUGGGGAGCAAACAGGAUUAGAUACCCGGGUAGUCC